UGAGAUUAUUUAUUUAAUUAUAUUAUCAACUAUUAAGUAAAUCUCUUCAUGUCCUUAUUCGUGAUUUGAUACUUAAUCACUCUUUGAAAAGCUUGGUCAAACACAAAUUAUUAUUCAGAAGUGCUUUUUAGAUUGAUUAGCCAAACACAAACUACUUCUCACCAAAAAUACUUUUUCGGAACGCACUUUUCAAAUAAGCUGAUUUUUCCAGCUUGGCCAAACAGGCUACUAGACUGAAUCCCACAUAACUAUUAUUGCUUCAAUUUAUUCUGAUACUCCCUCCAUUUCAAUUUAUGUAUCUUACUUUCCUCUAAUCGGUUCAAAAAGGAUGUCAUAUUUCUUUAUUCAAAAGUCCUUAAUUCUAACACUCC
rnacentral:lncRNA from 1 species